GGAUGAAUUCAUUUGUAGUGUUCUCUGACUCCGAUGACGUCCACCAGGAUCUGA
rnacentral:sRNA from 1 species